AUGGACGAAAGUCUGAUGGAGCAACGCCGCGUGAGUGAAGAAUGUUUCGGCUCGUAAAACUCUGUUGUUAAAGAAGAACAUAUCUGAGAGUAACUGUUCAGGUAUUGACGGUAUUUAACCAGAAAGCCACGGCUAACUACGUGCCAGCAGCCGCGGUAAUACGUAGGUGGCAAGCGUUGUCCGGAUUUAUUGGGCGUAAAGCGAGCGCAGGCGGUUUUUUAAGUCUGAUGUGAAAGCCUUCGGCUUAACCGAAGAAGUGCAUCGGAAGCUGGGAAACUUGAGUGCAGAAGAGGACAGUGGAACUCCAUGUGUAGCGGUGAAAUGCGUAGAUAUAUGGAAGAACACCAGUGGCGAAGGCGGCUGUCUGGUCUGUAACUGACGCUGAGGCUCGAAAGUAUGGGUAGCAAACAGGAUUAGAUACCCUGGUAGUCCAUACCGUAAACGAUGAGUGCUAAGUGUUGGAGGGUUUCCGCCCUUCAGUGCUGCAGCUAACGCAUUAAGCAUUCCGCCUGGGGAGUACGGCCGCAAGGCUGAAACUCAAAGGAAUUGACGGGGGCCCGCACAAGCGGUGGAGCAUGUGGUUUAAUUCGAAGCUACGCGAAGAACCUUACCAGGUCUUGA
rnacentral:rRNA from 2 species